rfam:Schistosoma mansoni strain Puerto Rico chromosome 2, complete genome
GCUGACGAGUCCCAAGUAGGACGAAACGCGCGUCC